ensembl:lncRNA
AGGAGGAACAGCUGCUGUCUGUUGAGGGAAUGAGGGGGGCACAGGUGCUCCCUAUAGAGACUCAUUUGGUCCCACAGGCCAUAUUAGUAGGCUGGUCUCUACACUUGUGUUUGCAGAGCUGUAACUGGAAGCACCAGAGGUCUGAAAUGAAGAAGGUGAAGAGAGGUGGGCUUGGUGCGCUGGGCUUCUCCCCAUUAAGGAGAAUUGCAGACAACUGAAUAUGGAAAAGAAUACAAAAGCAGAGCCUGUCAGUCACCCCUGGGCGGUUGUCAGCAUCUGGAAGGAUGGAUGCAGAAGUUAAGAGCAGCCAUCUUCAUCCAGUCACCUGUGUGCCUCAGUCAGAGGUCAAAGCUGUUGAACACAAUGGCAAAGCAGCAUAGGAGAAACACCCUUUGUCCUCUGUCAUCGCUGUCAAAAACAGAGGAGGGGAAGAAGUCCCGCACACCACAUUUCAGCAAAGCCCUGAAGACAGUGUUCUGCACAGAGUCCCAGCCUCCAAUUGGCAGUCCCAGCUCUUUGGCAGAUGAUUUUAUCCAGGGUCAGACCCACAGCUCUUGAAAACUCACAACCUGAGGGAGUUCUGGAACUCCUCACCUCAUGGGUACACCACAGCGCUGAUCCAAGAGCCAGGGGCAGCAUUCCUUGGCCAAAAGGUUUGUGCUGGAUGGGAGCUGAGACCCUGAGUCUGAGGCUGCCCAGGAUCAGUGUGCUCAGAAUACCAACGGGCCUCAAUCAGGCAGUCUGGGAGAGCAUACAGAAACGUAUCAAUUUGUUCCCGAGUAUUUUCAGGCACAAACAACUGCAAGAAUUUACCACGGCUAUAUAAAAAUAUAGUCUGGGACCCAGGCAGGUCUGUAAAAGUUGUGUGAAGCUGGAGGACGCAUUUCCUUGUGGG